GGGUUGUGAGGUUAAGCGACUAAGCGUACACGGUGGAUGCCCUGGCAGUCAGAGGCGAUGAAGGACGUGCUAAUCUGCGAUAAGCGUCGGUAAGGUGAUAUGAACCGUUAUAACCGGCGAUUUCCGAAUGGGGAAACCCAGUGUGAUUCGUCACACUAUCAUUAACUGAAUCCAUAGGUUAAUGAGGCGAACCGGGGGAACUGAAACAUCUAAGUACCCCGAGGAAAAGAAAUCAACCGAGAUUCCCCCAGUAGCGGCGAGCGAACGGGGAGCAGCCCAGAGCCUGAAUCAGUGUGUGUGUUAGUGGAAGCGUCUGGAAAGGCGCGCGAUACAGGGUGACAGCCCCGUACACAAAAAUGCACAUACUGUGAGCUCGAUGAGUAGGGCGGGACACGUGGUAUCCUGUCUGAAUAUGGGGGGACCAUCCUCCAAGGCUAAAUACUCCUGACUGACCGAUAGUGAACCAGUACCGUGAGGGAAAGGCGAAAAGAACCCCGGCGAGGGGAGUGAAAAAGAACCUGAAACCGUGUACGUACAAGCAGUGGGAGCACGCUUAGGCGUGUGACUGCGUACCUUUUGUAUAAUGGGUCAGCGACUUAUAUUCUGUAGCAAGGUUAACCGAAUAGGGGAGCCGAAGGGAAACCGAGUCUUAACUGGGCGUUAAGUUGCAGGGUAUAGACCCGAAACCCGGUGAUCUAGCCAUGGGCAGGUUGAAGGUUGGGUAACACUAACUGGAGGACCGAACCGACUAAUGUUGAAAAAUUAGCGGAUGACUUGUGGCUGGGGGUGAAAGGCCAAUCAAACCGGGAGAUAGCUGGUUCUCCCCGAAAGCUAUUUAGGUAGCGCCUCGUGAAUUCAUCUCCGGGGGUAGAGCACUGUUUCGGCAAGGGGGUCAUCCCGACUUACCAACCCGAUGCAAACUGCGAAUACCGGAGAAUGUUAUCACGGGAGACACACGGCGGGUGCUAACGUCCGUCGUGAAGAGGGAAACAACCCAGACCGCCAGCUAAGGUCCCAAAGUCAUGGUUAAGUGGGAAACGAUGUGGGAAGGCCCAGACAGCCAGGAUGUUGGCUUAGAAGCAGCCAUCAUUUAAAGAAAGCGUAAUAGCUCACUGGUCGAGUCGGCCUGCGCGGAAGAUGUAACGGGGCUAAACCAUGCACCGAAGCUGCGGCAGCGACACUAUGUGUUGUUGGGUAGGGGAGCGUUCUGUAAGCCUGUGAAGGUGUACUGUGAGGUAUGCUGGAGGUAUCAGAAGUGCGAAUGCUGACAUAAGUAACGAUAAAGCGGGUGAAAAGCCCGCUCGCCGGAAGACCAAGGGUUCCUGUCCAACGUUAAUCGGGGCAGGGUGAGUCGACCCCUAAGGCGAGGCCGAAAGGCGUAGUCGAUGGGAAACAGGUUAAUAUUCCUGUACUUGGUGUUACUGCGAAGGGGGGACGGAGAAGGCUAUGUUGGCCGGGCGACGGUUGUCCCGGUUUAAGCGUGUAGGCUGGUUUUCCAGGCAAAUCCGGAAAAUCAAGGCUGAGGCGUGAUGACGAGGCACUACGGUGCUGAAGCAACAAAUGCCCUGCUUCCAGGAAAAGCCUCUAAGCAUCAGGUAACAUCAAAUCGUACCCCAAACCGACACAGGUGGUCAGGUAGAGAAUACCAAGGCGCUUGAGAGAACUCGGGUGAAGGAACUAGGCAAAAUGGUGCCGUAACUUCGGGAGAAGGCACGCUGAUAUGUAGGUGAAGUCCCUCGCGGAUGGAGCUGAAAUCAGUCGAAGAUACCAGCUGGCUGCAACUGUUUAUUAAAAACACAGCACUGUGCAAACACGAAAGUGGACGUAUACGGUGUGACGCCUGCCCGGUGCCGGAAGGUUAAUUGAUGGGGUUAGCGCAAGCGAAGCUCUUGAUCGAAGCCCCGGUAAACGGCGGCCGUAACUAUAACGGUCCUAAGGUAGCGAAAUUCCUUGUCGGGUAAGUUCCGACCUGCACGAAUGGCGUAAUGAUGGCCAGGCUGUCUCCACCCGAGACUCAGUGAAAUUGAACUCGCUGUGAAGAUGCAGUGUACCCGCGGCAAGACGGAAAGACCCCGUGAACCUUUACUAUAGCUUGACACUGAACAUUGAGCCUUGAUGUGUAGGAUAGGUGGGAGGCUUUGAAGUGUGGACGCCAGUCUGCAUGGAGCCGACCUUGAAAUACCACCCUUUAAUGUUUGAUGUUCUAACGUUGACCCGUGAUCCGGGUUGCGGACAGUGUCUGGUGGGUAGUUUGACUGGGGCGGUCUCCUCCUAAAGAGUAACGGAGGAGCACGAAGGUUGGCUAAUCCUGGUCGGACAUCAGGAGGUUAGUGCAAUGGCAUAAGCCAGCUUGACUGCGAGCGUGACGGCGCGAGCAGGUGCGAAAGCAGGUCAUAGUGAUCCGGUGGUUCUGAAUGGAAGGGCCAUCGCUCAACGGAUAAAAGGUACUCCGGGGAUAACAGGCUGAUACCGCCCAAGAGUUCAUAUCGACGGCGGUGUUUGGCACCUCGAUGUCGGCUCAUCACAUCCUGGGGCUGAAGUAGGUCCCAAGGGUAUGGCUGUUCGCCAUUUAAAGUGGUACGCGAGCUGGGUUUAGAACGUCGUGAGACAGUUCGGUCCCUAUCUGCCGUGGGCGCUGGAGAACUGAGGGGGGCUGCUCCUAGUACGAGAGGACCGGAGUGGACGCAUCACUGGUGUUCGGGUUGUCAUGCCAAUGGCACUGCCCGGUAGCUAAAUGCGGAAGAGAUAAGUGCUGAAAGCAUCUAAGCACGAAACUUGCCCCGAGAUGAGUUCUCCCUGACUCCUUGAGAGUCCUGAAGGAACGUUGAAGACGAC
rnacentral:rRNA from 1 species